rnacentral:piRNA from 1 species
UAGGAAUGCUCAGGCAUAUAGAGAGUGUC